UACAGAGGCCACAAGCGUUAAUCGGAAUCACUGGGCUUAAAGGGUGCGUAGGCGGGUUCGUAAGAGCUUUGUGAAAGGCCUCGGCUCAACCGAGGAACUGCAGGGCAUACUGCGAAUCUCGAGGAAUCUAGAGGCCGGCAGAACGAUAGGUGGAGCGGUGGAAUGCGUAGAGAUCUAUCGGAAUGCCAAUGGUGAAGACAGCCGGCUGGGGAUUUCCUGACGCUGAGGCACGAAAGCGUGGGGAGCAAACAGG
rnacentral:rRNA from 1 species